rnacentral:rRNA from 1 species
GACGAACGCUGGCGGCGUGCUUAACACAUGCAAGUCGAACGGGCCCGCCCCUGUUUUUGGGGGUGGGUUGAGUGGCGACCGGGUGAGUAUCACGUGAGUAACCUGCCCCCUGCUCCUGGAUAACUGCUUGAAAGGGCGGCUAAUACGGGGUGUGCCGGCUGGUCCGCAUGGGCCUGGUCGGGAUAGCUUCGUCUGCGGGUGUGGCGGUGGGGGAUGGGCUCGGGGCCUAUCUGCUUGUUGGUGGGGUAGUGGCCUACCAAGGCGGUGAAGGGUAGCCGGCCUGGGAGGGUGACGGGCGACAGUGGGACGGAGAGACGGCCCAGACUCCUACGGGAGGCAGCAGUGGGGAAUAUUGCACAAUGGGCGGAAGCCUGAUGCAGCAACGCCGCGUGCGGGAUGACGGCCUUCGGGUUGUAAACCGCUUUCGCCUGGGACGAAGCGUGAGUGACGGUAAUGGGUAAAGAAGCACCGGCUAACUACGUG